rnacentral:rRNA from 1 species
CGGAGGGUGCAAGCGUUAUCCGGAUUCACUGGGUUUAAAGGGAGCGCAGGCGGACCUGUAAGUCAGUGGUGAAAUACCUGAGCUUAACUCGGGAACUGCCAUUGAUACUAUCGGUCUUGAAUGUUGUUGAGGUUUGCGGAAUGGGUCAUGUAGCGGUGAAAUGCAUAGAUAUGACCCGGAACACCUAUUGCGAAGGCAGCGGGCUAAACAAAUAUUGACGCUGAGGCUCGAAAGCGUGGGGAUCAAACAGGAUUAGAUACCCUGGUAGUCCACGCCCUAAACGAUGAUUACUCGACAUACGCGAUACACUGUGUGUGUCUGAGCGAAAGCAUUAAGUAAUCCACCUGGGAAGUACGACCGCAAGGUUG